rnacentral:rRNA from 1 species
AUUGAACGCUGGCGGCAGGCUUAACACAUGCAAGUCGAGCGAGCGGCGGACGGUUGAGUAAUUUCUGGGAAACUGCCUGAUGGAGGGGGAUAACUACUGGAAACGGUAGCUAAUACCGCAUACCAUCAGAUGUGCCCAGAUGGGAUGAGCUAGUAGGUGGGGUAAUGGCUCACCUAGGCGACGAUCCCUAGCUGGUCUGAGAGGAUGACCAGCCACACUGGAACUGAGACACGGUCCAGAUUCCUAGGGGAGGCAGCAGUGGGGAAUAUGGGACAAUGGGCGCAAGCCUGAUUCAGCCAUGCCGCGUGUGUGAAGAAGGCCUUCGGGUUGUAAAGCACUUUCAGCGAGGAGGCGUUACUCGCAGAAGAAGCACCGGCUAACUCCGUGCCAGCAGCCGCGGUAAUUC